rnacentral:rRNA from 1 species
AUUGAACGCUGGCGGCAGGCCUAACACAUGCAAGUCGAACGAGUGGCGGACGGGUGAGUAAUGUCUGGGAAACUGCCCGAUGGAGGGGGAUAACUACUGGAAACGGUAGCUAAUACAGCAUACCAUCGGAUGUGCCCAGAUGGGAUUAGCUAGUAGGUGGGGUAACGGCUCACCUAGGCGACGAUCCCUAGCUGGUCUGAGAGGAUGACCAGCCACACUGGAACGGAGACACGGUCCAGAGUCCUACGGGAGGCAGAGGAGGGGGAUAUUGCACAAUGGGCGGAAGCCUGAUGCAGCCAGGCCGCGUGUAUGAAGAAGGCCUUCGGGUUGUAAAGUACUUUCAGCGAGGAGGCGUUACUCGCAGAAGAAUCACCGGCUGACUCCGUGCCAGGAGCCGCGGUAAUAC